UCGUGGCCUGAUAGAUUUCAAAAUCACGAAAGGUUUGGCCAUUGUUCUCCCAACAGCUUAAAGUCACUUAGUCUCGCCUGUACCCCCCGGAGAGGACCCCUGGGAAGGUAAAUUAUUACAUCACACUGGGCCACUAGCAUGUUGGGGCUCAACUCUAUGGUCUGGCCUUGGAACAACUCAAUGUUUUAUUGAAAAUGAAAUACACAUGCAUGAAAAAGACCAGCACAAUGUUUGGAUUCUUGCAAGAGCUUGUAAGACACACUGUGUGGAGGCGAUGUAUGAAAUAAACAUCUUAGUAUCUUGGAUUAUAAUCUCCAGACAUGAUGACAAUUAAAGGAGGUAAAAUUAAGGAGGGAGGGAGUGGGAAACCCAAGGUGGGGGAUUAUCAUCUCUGUUAAUUUUCAAAGCCGU
rnacentral:lncRNA from 9 species